rnacentral:tRNA from 1 species
UAGUAAGGUCAGCUAAUUAAGCU